ACACUGCUUUUUGUUUGGUUUCCCAUACCCAUUUCAGCUUCUCUAUCGUCUUCAAAGCUCCCGGUUUUUCUCUUUCGAAUCUCGCCUUCAGUCGUCCCUUUUUCUGUCGUUCUCACCUUUUCGUUUCCUCAGUCAACACCGAAUCAGUAUGCACAGAUGGUAUAUGGAAGAGAUGCAGGAUAUCAUCGGGGUGGAAUGUCCUCUAUUAAUUUUUUUGAAAUUAAUUUGGGGUUUUGUUUAGCUUUGCUAAUUAUGGAAGAGAUGCAGGAUAACAAAGGGUGUGUUUUUUGUAUUCAUCUGUUUCCUCUUUCUGGAAUUUUGUUUCUCAGCCCUUUCAUCUCUCUGCAGUUGGUGAUUAAGGGGUUGUUUGUUGCUGGGAAAUGAUGGUUGCAAGUUGUUUCUGUUUUUUGGUUCGGUGGUGGUAGAUUUUUUUUACUCGGAGGACGCAUCGUUUCCUGCAAAGUUUUGGGUCUUUUUGAAUACAGAUCUUUGUAUUUUUCUUUGUAGUUUUAGAGCAAGGACUCCUCAUUGCAUAUGCCGAACUCCCCACAUGCAGCAUAAACUCAGCAUUGUUUUUGUGGUCGAAGCGAAACCAAAUUCCAUUGGAAUUCGCCAACCAUGUUAGCUGCUGACUUGUCCUGAGGUAGACAACACAAAUCGAGCUAUUCUCUUAGGAUCAUAAAGAGAAUAUGUGAAAUAACCUUCAUUUUUGUUCGAGCCAUAGCUGAAAUUGUAUACAUAACUAAGCCUCAUUUCAGGAACCAAGCUAAAAGAAUUAGAACUUUCGUUCCAUAAACCGCUGGUCCAAUAUUGUGUAGACCUAUUCCACAGCAUAUGAUUUGCAGUGCUCCCCGGGUUAAGAGAGAAAAGACCUGGUGCAGGAUCCUCGUAACUCUUCCAUGAAGUGAGAAUUUGGGUUUGUUGGGAAACAAUGCUGAAUCCAAGUCUACUUCCUGGUAGCCAUGUAUGGGUUGGAAAAUCAAAACUUUGCCACAAAAACUCAGAUGUAGACCCAGCUUUUAAUAACACAAAGUUACCGCUAUCCAAAAGCAGUGAGUGUAUAGAAGCGGAGGUGCUGGAGGAGGUCCAAUUUGCCGACCAAAUUGAAGUUUUGGAUUCACUAAAUAGAACUAGAUUACGAUCUGAGAUCCUCAAGACUAAAGAAAAUUUAUCAGACACUGGUUGUUCCCAAUUGCUCCUCAGACAAUAGUGUGGAGCCAAAAAUAAUCACAAGACGACACGUGAAUUUUUCGACAAAAGAGGACAAAAAUACCCUUGAGGUACAACGGGAUUCCUACGUGCGAGUUGCAGGCAAUUAUCAUUCAACCAAAUCAAAAGUGUCCAAAAUAGGUGCAAUUUUGUCCAAGAAGAAGAAGGCAGAAAUUUGCAUCCACAAAUUGGUGCUUUCAUUA